rnacentral:rRNA from 1 species
UACGAAGGGGGCUAGCGUUGCUCGGAAUCACUGGGCGUAAAGCGCACGUAGGCGGACUCUUAAGUCGGGGGUGAAAUCCUGGGGCUCAACCUCAGAAUUGCCUCCGAUACUGGCAGUCUCGAGUGCGGGAGAGGUGAGUGGAAUUCCCAGUGUAGAGGUGAAAUUCGUAGAUAUUGGGAAGAACACCAGUGGCGAAGGCGGCUCACUGGCCCGUAACUGACGCUGAGGUGCGAAAGCGUGGGGAGCAAACAGG